GUUCCCUGUGAUGCUUUUAAACCAUGCUAAUGCUGAUUAUUGCAUGAUUAUAUCUUUAACAAAAUUCUGAGGGAACU
rfam:Prunus persica cultivar Lovell chromosome G6, whole genome shotgun sequence.